GAGUGUAAAAGAAAAAUUAUUAAAAUAAAACAACAUUAUUGAGAGAUAUGUUAAACAAACCAGAAUCUUUUACUCAGGUUUUUAAAGGUGUACCUUGGUAUUGUAUGAGAACAGUACAAGAUAUUAAAAGUGCUAGGAGGCAGGACACAAAGUGACAGAGAUCGAACUUUCUACAUACAUAAAUUUAAUUUUAUUAGUAUUAUUAGUUUAUUAGUAAUAUAAUCCACUUGUAUGAAGUCAGGUUAAUAAGAAUACUCAAAGUAUUUUAUAGAUGAUUUUAUUGCAAUAGUAGUAAUUAGAUUUGCUGGAAUACCAAUGAGCUAGAAGCUCAUAAUUUUAGAAUAACAACUGUAAUAACUGCAAUAAGAAAAUGUAAUAGUUCUAGGAAUAUAUCAGUUAACAGAACAAGUUAUCUUAAUUCAUAAGGAAUACUUCUAUGAAGAAGUGUUAUAUUAUUAUAAGUGUUAACAAUGGUCUACUCCCAAGGAGUAAAGGAAGAAAUUAAUAAUAGGGGAGACUGAGCAACACUCUUAAAGAAAGAAGUAUAGAACAAAAGAAGUAAGCGAGAAACAAGCUAAAGAAUUGAAUAUAUUGAAAGCACUAACAAGUGAAAGAGAAAAUUAAGUAGAGAGAAGGUGCCAAAAGGGGGAAUACUACGGUAGAUAAACUGACACAGAAUAAGAGAAUGGAAUUAAUGAUAUUAUUGAAGAACACAUAAAACAAGUUCUACAUCUAUAUGAAAUAGAAAAGCUGCUGGAGAAGAUAACAUUGCACCAGAAAUAUUGAAAAAUGGAUGAAAACCAAUCCCAAAUAGCUCAAGACAAUAUUCUAAUAGUUAUUGAGAUACCUAAACAUUAUUAUGCCUACAUAAAGAAAGGAGAGACUCUGUGAUAAUUAUACAGCAGUAUGCAUAUAUAGAGCAUAUGAAAACAUUAGGAAAUGAAAUCCAAAACAAAUUAGUGGCUGAAUAAGCGUCUUCCUGUCUUGGCAACUAAAUACAGAUUCACAUUUUUAUAAUCAUAAACAUAAUAUAAAAGAGAAUUGAUAAAGCAAGGAAAAUAUUUGUGGUUCUCUUAGAUCUUAAAGCUGCAAGACCAAAUACAAUAUAUGGGAAACACUUGAAGAAUUACAAACCAAUCACAAGCUGAUAUGGAUAAAUAAGAGAAACAACAAGAAGUUAGUUGGAGUAAAUGGUCAAAAAACCCAAUUGGUAGAAUUCUAUACACGGAAUGGAGUUGUUAAUUUUCACAAUAUGCAUGUUUGGGCCAACGAAAAUCCUCAUGGAAUAAUGGAAUCUGGACAUCAGACACGUUUUUCAUUAAAUAUUUGGAUGGGCAUUGUAGGCGACUGGUUUUUAGGUCCGGUUGUUUUACCAAACUGAUUAACAGGCACUGCUUAUCUAAAUGUUCUGCAGAACACAAUGAUUAAUCUUUUUGAUGACAUUCCCUUAGAUCAACAGCAACAAAUGUUCCAGCAUGAUGGUGCUCCACUUCAUUUUUCGAUUGGAGCACAUUUAAAUCAAACUUGCUCACAUAGAUGGAUAGGAAGGGCGGACCUGUACUAUGACCUGCAAGAUUGGCUGACUUAAACCCUCUAGACUUCUUCUUCUUUGGGGAUAUUUGAAUACAUUAGUCUAUGGUACUACAGUGAAUACUCUCGAGGAGCUGCAGCUACGAAUUAACAAACAAUGCCAACAAAUUGGAACCAAUGAGGAAAUUUUAGAAAUAGUUCGAUUAUCCUUCAGAGGAAGAUGUGGUGUUUGGAUAAGGAAGGAGAACAUUUUGAACAUCUUAUUUAACUUUAUUUUUUGUUAGAAACUUCUUGUGUUUGUUUGUACAUUAUAAUUUUUUUCAAAA